rnacentral:lncRNA from 1 species
UCUACGUUAUCGAUAAAGAUGUUGAAGAGCACCAGUCCCAAGAUGGACCCUUGGGGGACACCACUCCUCACUGGUCAACCUGUUGACCACUAAAAAUGUGUUGAUCUAUUAUUAACCCCAUCUAUGUUCUUAAGUUAAGACCUAUCUCCUUUCAGUUUUAAUAGACACUUCUCCAUUAAUGACAAGAGGAAAUAUUGUCUGAGGUAGUAAUCAGCAAGAUAACUGGCAUAAGAGGAUGUGCAGAAAUAGAAGAAAAAAGCAGGGUUUUUUGAAGUCUUGUUCUCUGCAUGAUGAAAUGCUCCACUCCAAGAACUGAAGACGCUAUGGAGGAACGGAGGCUCUUUUACACCUGCUGGGGGCACUGCAAUACAAAGAAAAGGAGCAAUGACUGCUGAAAAUCUUUCACCUUAGAAACUGACAAAAAAAGCUGCAACUGUCAGCAAAAAAAAAAAGAGAAGAUUAUCAGAAUUGAGAGCUGUCCCUGGGAGGAAAAAGGUGAUUAAAUGGAUUCACAAACCAC